GUCCGAGUCCAUCCUCGGGGAAAACAUGUCUGUGAUUUAGUUCAUGGGCAUGGGAUCCUCGUCAUUUACUGUGAGCAAAAUAGAGUGUUCAAAGCAGGCUUAUGCCGUUGAAUAUUUUAGCAUGGAAUAAUAAGAUAAGACCUUGGUCUAUUUUGUUGGUUUGUACUCCAAGGUAAUGAUUAAUAGGGACAGUUGGGGGUAUUCGUAUUCAAUUGUCAGAGGUGAAAUUCUUGGAUUUAUUGAAGACGAACUACUGCGAAAGCAUUUACCAAGGAUGUUUUCAUUAAUCAAGAACGAAAGUUAGGGGAUCGAAGAUGAUUAGAUACCAUCGUAGUCUUAACCAUAAACUAUGCCGACUAGGGAUUGGUGGACGUUUGUAACGACUCCAUCAGCACCUUAUGAGA
rnacentral:rRNA from 1 species